AACAUUGGUUACUGUAUGAUCACUGAAGUCAAGCAAUGUUGGGCCUGGUCAAUACCUAGAUGGGUGACUGCUUGGGAAUACCAGGUGCUGUAA